GUUUAAACGUUUUAAUAAGUACCAACCUUCAUCAUUAUCUUAAACAAUAGUGUAACACCACAACAUAGAGAAACAUACUAUAAAAUAUCAAUUGAAAUGUCGUGCCCAUUAAUAUAAUAUUGCAUGUUCUUACAUGUAAUGAAUAAACAUAUUAGAUUUUGUCCGUAAUUUUUAUCCUUAAGAAUCGUUUCUAUAUAGGAAA
rnacentral:lncRNA from 1 species